CCUACGGGUGGCUGCAGUCGAGGAUCUUCGGCAAUGAGCGCAAGCUUGACCGAGCGACGCCGCGUGCGCGAUGAAGGCCUUCGGGUUGUAAAGCGCGAAAGUGGGGAGAAAAGCCCGCAAGGGUGUGAUCUAUCCACAGUAAGCACGGGCUAAGUUCGUGCCAGCAGCCGCGGUAAGACGAACCGUGCGAACGUUGUUCGGAAUCACUGGGCUUAAAGGGCGCGUAGGCGGGCUGUCAAGUCUGGGGUGAAAUGCCGCGGCUCAACCGUGGAACU
rnacentral:rRNA from 1 species